UGUGAGGAAGGGAGGGGAACUGGGAGGAGUGGAUGUGGGAGAGAGCUGAAGCCUCAAUGCCUCAGACUUUGAAAAAUGACUAUUAAGAAGUCUGAGGUUACACUUCCACUCACAUAGUCUCUUUGCCCAGACUUUUUCUCUCUCCUUUUCCUCACCCCUAGAAAUCACAGCCCCAACUCUAUGGAUUAAACACUUGGUGAUCAAGGACUCCAAACUGAACAACACCAACAUAAGAAAUUCAGAGAAAGUCUAUUCGUGUGACCAGGAGAGGCAGAGUGCCCUGGAAGAGGCCCAGCAGAAUCCCCGUGAGGGUAUUGUCAUCCCUGAAUGUGCCCCUGGGGGACUCUAUAAGCCAGUGCAAUGCCACCAGUCCACUGGCUACUGCUGGUGUGUGCUGGUGGACACAGGGCGCCCGCUGCCUGGGACCUCCACACGCUACGUGAUGCCCAGUUGUGAGAGCGACGCCAGGGCCAAGACUACAGAGGCGGAUGACCCCUUCAAGGACAGGGAGCUACCAGG
rnacentral:lncRNA from 1 species